UUAUGCAAUCGAGAUUCCCACAUUUGGGGAAUUCGCACGGGUCAGCAACAGCCUCAGUGCAAUGGCUGAGCCUCGCUAUGGGUGAACCACCUUCUUGAUCAUGGUAUCUCCCUUGCCAGGUAAGUAUGAGUUGAACACGUUCAGGUGGGCUGAACGAUGCCCACGCGUGUUCCCGUGGAGAACGGUUGCAAAGCAUUCGGCGAUGUCUAGACUUUAAUAAACACUGUAGACCACCGGUCACACGAUGACAGGCGAAUCUGAAAUCAGCGAGAUGGAAGCUUAACGAAAGGAAACCUGGAGAUCCGAGUUAUCGACACGCCACAGAAAGAAUCCUUUUUUCUUUCUUAAACAACAGAAUAUCGUUGGAAUAAUUGUAAACAGUGCGUUUAUGAAUUGUAAAUGACACUUUAUUGUCUACAGGCGGACGGGUGUACUCUCAGGAGGAGUUUAGUUUUGUUUUUCACAGUGAGAGAGGGGUGCACCGGUCCUGGAGGUACUGCAAUACCAGGUCGAUGCGUGGAGUGGACGGGGCAAGCCCCUUUUCCAUCUCCCAGUUCCAAAAAUCAAUUUAAUAUAUGGUCCCCGGGUAGGGGACGUAUCAGAUAUUAAACUGAUAAGAACAGAUACUACACUUGAUCUUAGCCAAAAGGCCGAGAAGCGAUGCCUACACACGCUCAGACCAAGAGGCGACGUUCCCAGACACGUCGCUCCACGUGGCGGUUUAACAGACAACGAAAAAAAAACAAAAGAAUGACCAAGCACCCUGUGUGCGUGUUUGUGUGUAUGUGAAAGCUGAAGAAAUAAACCGAGGUCGCUACAUCUCUUUGCUGCUGCCUGCUGGCAGUCUCACUAGGCCGUCUGCAUGUUUCACAAAUAGAGUUUGGAGCAGUGGAGGCUUCUAUAAGACCACAGGUGAAGCAGUGCUUCACCAAAAAAAUGUUAAAAAAUAAAUAAACCAACAAUACUAUCGAAUACUGCCAAAAUGGUGGUGCCCACGAUUUCCCCGCCCCAACAACGUCAACACCCGGAACUCUAUUGCAGCCAUUGCAGCCAAUGAGCUCGAGUUGAAAAAGAAAAUAGCUUACAGCACGUGGUUUCACUCAGGUAAAUUGUAUCCCCUUCACCGUUUGCUAGUUGACAAUUAGACCUUUUUGUUAAGGUUUGUAUUAAGCUGUUUCGAUUUUGUAGAAAGAGAAAAGAUUUCCACCGUGUCAUAACACGGUCGUUGUGUAUAAAGGGAAGACGUAGCGGUUACGUUUUUAGCUGCUGGGUUGACUUCAGUCAACCUAUCGCCGUUUUGUCUGCGAGCAACCAUAUUACUCGUGGGUGGUCUCCUUUUAAUCGUGGUAAUCUAAGCUUUCCAACGGUGUAUGGCAUGACUAUAUGUACCCAGGGGUCGUUGAAAUAAUAAGCUGAUUAAUGUGUGUUUUGUGACGAUAGCUAGGCGCGGCUAACGACACUGUUUACAAUGUGUAAGGGCAUACGUCGCAUACCUGCAAACUUGUUGCUUUUCGGCGACAAUCAACGUUUUCUUGGACAAUUUGAUGUGGAUAUGUGUUGAUUUGGGUAAAUGUGACUGUUUAGACAACAGCUGAUGCGAGAGUAAGUGUAACAUAAAGCAAUUUGGCGACCGUGUUAAUCUCUUGUUGCAUGGGAUGCGCUGCAUACCUGGAAACAGUAGCUGAUUUCUAACAACAUAGAUAACAAUCUGGCGAGCGUGUUGUCCACCUAGGCUAAUACACCAACAGCACAUUUCUGUAUAAUAAAGGGCUACAUAUUGUCAAUCUAAAUGAUCUGCUUGUUGUACUCAUUUAUUCAUGUUUUACUGUACCAGAUGGAACAUGGAGGAGCCUACACAUCAGUGCACCGUGUGCGACAAGACAUUCAGUGAAAAGUCCAACCUGGCGAGUCAUCUGAAGAUCCAUGCCAUCGCCAGGGAGACCUUUACCUGUGAUGUCUGCGGGAAGAGCUUGGCCACUAAACCAUCGCUGGUCAGCCAUCAACAGCUACACCAGUACCCCAACAUCAUUUUGUACCGGCAAGGAGAGGCCAGGCUGUACUGUACAGAGGCAGCAAGGUCUGUGGCAGAGGCCCGCAGCAGCACUGUUGUUGACCCUAAAUGGCUGGAUCUCAAGACAGCAGAGGCGGCUGCCAAGAGGUCGGGGGCUGAGCUGUGGAAAGGUCAGCUGGUCCUCACGUUCGGGUAGUACGCCGGUCAGACCUUCAGGUGGCUUGUGGAGAAUGAUGUCGGCUGGCUGGUGUGGCUGCUGCUCCAGUACUGCCAGCAGGGAGAGCAGAACGAGCUGCUGAAGUGGCAGAAGGAGCGACUGCUCCUUCGGCCACAAGGUGACUCCUCACCUGAAAGUGCUGUCGGACGCACCGUUCCCGGAGGCUCCUGCGCUGCCAACAUCCCUCCCUCCGCCAGACCGGCCUCAGGUCCAGUACCGGCUCAUCCAUCACGAGGCUGGAAAGAGACGUGGUGAGAAGCGGAGGUAAGUUGUCAUAAGCACUUUGUUUCACCUGUUGGCUGUGGAAAGCAAAUAGCACACACGUCAUAUCAAUACUGAUCACAUGUGUAUUUUAUGUUUCCAGAUUAUUUGUUGCUGAGCCACAGCCUGUGACUCCCGCGAACCGACCCGUUCAGCCCACUGGGUUGUCGUCCUCCACCCGGCCGAAGCCUGCUGCGCUCACCCCCAUUCUGCCGAGGCCUUCUGCGCCCACCCACCUCCAGCCGAGGCCACCCGCUGCGUUGACCUACGGCCCACCCCCUGUGUCGGCAGCACCCAUACUGCAGGUCUUCCCCGCACAGCCACAGGCCCCCUCCGUCCUGUUUCGUGGGACAUCCUGCAGCCAGUGCUUUGUCCCUCCUGCACCAACAGUGAAGGCAUUCAUGCCUAACAAGUCCUCAAGGCCAUGUGGGGCUUGCCACAUGCCAAACUGUGGUGGACAGUGGAAGAGGUACAACCCUUUCAAGGACAAAGUGGCUGGAAGCAUGCAGAAAAUGUUUUCCUACUGUCCAUCCACUAGGAAGUCCACUACCCCUGGCUUCGACAAUGUGGUGUAUGACAACUUUGAACUCUUUAAGAGUGUCGUGGAUGCAGAGUUGGAAAGGAGGACUGUGUGUGUGUGUGUGUGUGUGUGUGUGUGUGUGUGUGUGUGUGUGUGUGUGUGUGUGUGUGUGUGUGUGUGUGUGUGUGUGUGUGUGUGUGUGUGUGUGAAUAACUUACCUCUGUGAUGCCACUGUUGCCAGCCAUAUACAAAUAUCAUCAGCAUUUACAGUUUCAUUGAACAUCCUGACGAUUACGGUUUUAAUGGAAUCGUCAUUUAGUCUCUCCACUUCAAAUGCUGAGAACUGGUCUUUUACCGUGUCGUAGCGUGUCCAAAAUUCUUUGAGGGUUGUUGCGGCUGCGAAGCUAACAUCGAAUCCUUUGUUAAAGGGCAGAGUAAGAAUACAAUUCAAGUCGUUUCCGGUAAACUUCAGGAUUCCUUGGAUGUGCUUCCUUGAAAAAUCAAGCCGGGACAUCUGAAUUAAAAUUCCAUUGAUUGACUUAAAUUUAAAACGUACACUGUGGUGCCUCCUCAUGCCGGAGGGGUUAACCGACAUGAUGGAGACACCACACUCUUAAAAAUUCAAGAUGUUAAAAGCAAUAAAACAGUGAGUAAACAAGGUAAUACAGGCAACAAUAAAAUGCACUUUACCGUUUAAACAAACUGGACAAUGGUCUUCUUGGUAAAGGGUAUCAGCAACUGGUAUUUGACCCCAACUUACCAAAAAGAUGGUGCAAUAUCCUCCUAACCUGCUAUAUAAUUGCCACUAAAUAGGCAAUAUAUAGACAGACAACGGAGGGGAUCACUGUCUUAGCCAAAAGGCCGAGAAGCGGGUCAAUCUUUUUAACCUUAAUCAGUUCCAAUCUAACACAAUCAGUUUACAUACCCUUUAGUGGUUGUUCAUGUUCAGAUAAUCUGUGUUUUUGUCAUGCAUGUUGUUUGUCUUUGUCAGCUUCAUGUGUUUGUGAUGUUUGUAUGUAUUUGUCUGCUUCAGUUUUAACAAAAGUUUGCUAAAGAAAACACAAAAGGGAGGAACAGCUUGAGCCUUUAUUUGUUGAUUGGUCACCUGAGUCUUUGGAUAAUCAUGUUCAUUAUUGCACUUUAGCCUGUACAAGCCAAUUGUUGAGUUGUAUCUUAAGUACAAGUGUGUGUUCUUCAAUUGUUGAGAUUUUUGCAUUAUUAUUAAUGUUAUUUAUAUGUGCCUUUCCUUUUGAUGUGUGCAUGUCUGUCAGCUCCAUGUUUAAUGAAAAUGUUUGCAAAUGGUAGUACAUGUUUGUCUCUCGUCUCAUGCUCUCGUGUUCUCGCCUGUAGAUCUGUACCUUGUUGUGGUGGGCGAGCUUUUAAUUAAACAGAUCUUGUUUACUUGUGUUUUAUAUGCAUUGCCUUUUCAAUGAAACCCAUUCGGGGUGAAAAAUAAAAGUUGUAAAAGAAUUUGAGUCUCUGUGUGCUUGGCUUUCACAAGGGGUGGGGUAGUGGAAAGAAAAAACACACCAAAGAAAUUAGAAGUCCUUGUGUCUUCUCUCCCGCAACCAGAGGUGUGAAUACACCCCCACUUUGCUGGCUGCACUCCCUGUGUGGUCAAAAUAAUGAGUUCUGUGAAUGGCUCUGUCAUCCAGACAAAGGGAGUGCACUGAAUACAUUCUUAUUAUUUUUCUUAAUUCAGCCCAAAAAUGUAACAAUUAAACACUUUUCCACUUGAUAAUAUGAAUCUCAUCAGCUACAUCAACUCAAAGUAUGAAAAUAAUAAACAAAACAUUCAGCAGACUAGCGGAUUUUGAUAAUCUAGGCCUUGCACAUAAUAUUUCUGGAAAUAAGGAUCCAUAAUGAAUGAAAGGAAUGAAUGAAUGAAUGAAUGAAUGAAUGAAUGAAUGAAUGAAUGAAUGCGUUAUUCCAGACUCAGAGUUCCAUAUUUGAACGCAAUGCAUUACACUGCUUGCGCGUCAUCGUUUGCGUGAUCUUUUGAAGAAACGUAGCGAUGCAAAACAUGGUAUGGACUGCAAUAUAGCACGAUGAAGCCAUUCAUAGCUAUUAUUUCUUUAGAACAACAUGAUCAGGGGAGAGCGCGAACGCAGUCCCCCACUACCAGAAAUUAUGCAAUCGAGAUUCCCACAUUUGGGGAAUUCGCACGGGUCAGCAACAGCCUCAGUGCAAUGGCUGAGCCUCGCUAUGGGUGAACCACCUUCUUGAUCAUGGUAUCUCCCUUGCCAGGUAAGUAUGAGUUGAACACGUUCAGGUGGGCUGAACGAUGCCCACGCGUGUUCCCGUGGAGAACGGUUGCAAAGCAUUCGGCGAUGUCUAGACUUUAAUAAACACUGUAGACCACCGGUCACACGAUGACAGGCGAAUCUGAAAUCAGCGAGAUGGAAGCUUAACGAAAGGAAACCUGGAGAUCCGAGUUAUCGACACGCCACAGAAAGAAUCCUUUUUUCUUUCUUAAACAACAGAAUAUCGUUGGAAUAAUUGUAAACAGUGCGUUUAUGAAUUGUAAAUGACACUUUAUUGUCUACAGGCGGACGGGUGUACUCUCAGGAGGAGUUUAGUUUUGUUUUUCACAGUGAGAGAGGGGUGCACCGGUCCUGGAGGUACUGCAAUACCAGGUCGAUGCGUGGAGUGGACGGGGCAAGCCCCUUUUCCAUCUCCCAGUUCCAAAAAUCAAUUUAAUAUAUGGUCCCCGGGUAGGGGACGUAUCAGAUAUUAAACUGAUAAGAACAGAUACUACACUUGAUCUUAGCCAAAAGGCCGAGAAGCGAUGCCUACACACGCUCAGACCAAGAGGCGACGUUCCCAGACACGUCGCUCCACGUGGCGGUUUAACAGACAACGAAAAAAAAACAAAAGAAUGACCAAGCACCCUGUGUGCGUGUUUGUGUGUAUGUGAAAGCUGAAGAAAUAAACCGAGGUCGCUACAUCUCUUUGCUGCUGCCUGCUGGCAGUCUCACUAGGCCGUCUGCAUGUUUCACAAAUAGAGUUUGGAGCAGUGGAGGCUUCUAUAAGACCACAGGUGAAGCAGUGCUUCACCAAAAAAAUGUUAAAAAAUAAAUAAACCAACAAUACUAUCGAAUACUGCCAAAAUGGUGGUGCCCACGAUUUCCCCGCCCCAACAACGUCAACACCCGGAACUCUAUUGCAGCCAUUGCAGCCAAUGAGCUCGAGUUGAAAAAGAAAAUAGCUUACAGCACGUGGUUUCACUCAGGUAAAUUGUAUCCCCUUCACCGUUUGCUAGUUGACAAUUAGACCUUUUUGUUAAGAUGGAACAUGGAGGAGCCUACACAUCAGUGCACCGUGUGCGACAAGACAUUCAGUGAAAAGUCCAACCUGGCGAGUCAUCUGAAGAUCCAUGCCAUCGCCAGGGAGACCUUUACCUGUGAUGUCUGCGGGAAGAGCUUGGCCACUAAACCAUCGCUGGUCAGCCAUCAACAGCUACACCAGUACCCCAACAUCAUUUUGUACCGGCAAGGAGAGGCCAGGCUGUACUGUACAGAGGCAGCAAGGUCUGUGGCAGAGGCCCGCAGCAGCACUGUUGUUGACCCUAAAUGGCUGGAUCUCAAGACAGCAGAGGCGGCUGCCAAGAGGUCGGGGGCUGAGCUGUGGAAAGGUCAGCUGGUCCUCACGUUCGGGUAGUACGCCGGUCAGACCUUCAGGUGGCUUGUGGAGAAUGAUGUCGGCUGGCUGGUGUGGCUGCUGCUCCAGUACUGCCAGCAGGGAGAGCAGAACGAGCUGCUGAAGUGGCAGAAGGAGCGACUGCUCCUUCGGCCACAAGGUGACUCCUCACCUGAAAGUGCUGUCGGACGCACCGUUCCCGGAGGCUCCUGCGCUGCCAACAUCCCUCCCUCCGCCAGACCGGCCUCAGGUCCAGUACCGGCUCAUCCAUCACGAGGCUGGAAAGAGACGUGGUGAGAAGCGGAGGUAAGUUGUCAUAAGCACUUUGUUUCACCUGUUGGCUGUGGAAAGCAAAUAGCACACACGUCAUAUCAAUACUGAUCACAUGUGUAUUUUAUGUUUCCAGAUUAUUUGUUGCUGAGCCACAGCCUGUGACUCCCGCGAACCGACCCGUUCAGCCCACUGGGUUGUCGUCCUCCACCCGGCCGAAGCCUGCUGCGCUCACCCCCAUUCUGCCGAGGCCUUCUGCGCCCACCCACCUCCAGCCGAGGCCACCCGCUGCGUUGACCUACGGCCCACCCCCUGUGUCGGCAGCACCCAUACUGCAGGUCUUCCCCGCACAGCCACAGGCCCCCUCCGUCCUGUUUCGUGGGACAUCCUGCAGCCAGUGCUUUGUCCCUCCUGCACCAACAGUGAAGGCAUUCAUGCCUAACAAGUCCUCAAGGCCAUGUGGGGCUUGCCACAUGCCAAACUGUGGUGGACAGUGGAAGAGGUACAACCCUUUCAAGGACAAAGUGGCUGGAAGCAUGCAGAAAAUGUUUUCCUACUGUCCAUCCACUAGGAAGUCCACUACCCCUGGCUUCGACAAUGUGGUGUAUGACAACUUUGAACUCUUUAAGAGUGUCGUGGAUGCAGAGUUGGAAAGGAGGACUGUGUGUGUGUGUGUGUGUGUGUGUGUGUGUGUGUGUGUGUGUGUGUGUGUGUGUGUGUGUGUGUGUGUGUGUGUGUGUGUGUGUGUGUGUGUGUGUGUGUGUGUGUGAAUAACUUACCUCUGUGAUGCCACUGUUGCCAGCCAUAUACAAAUAUCAUCAGCAUUUACAGUUUCAUUGAACAUCCUGACGAUUACGGUUUUAAUGGAAUCGUCAUUUAGUCUCUCCACUUCAAAUGCUGAGAACUGGUCUUUUACCGUGUCGUAGCGUGUCCAAAAUUCUUUGAGGGUUGUUGCGGCUGCGAAGCUAACAUCGAAUCCUUUGUUAAAGGGCAGAGUAAGAAUACAAUUCAAGUCGUUUCCGGUAAACUUCAGGAUUCCUUGGAUGUGCUUCCUUGAAAAAUCAAGCCGGGACAUCUGAAUUAAAAUUCCAUUGAUUGACUUAAAUUUAAAACGUACACUGUGGUGCCUCCUCAUGCCGGAGGGGUUAACCGACAUGAUGGAGACACCACACUCUUAAAAAUUCAAGAUGUUAAAAGCAAUAAAACAGUGAGUAAACAAGGUAAUACAGGCAACAAUAAAAUGCACUUUACCGUUUAAACAAACUGGACAAUGGUCUUCUUGGUAAAGGGUAUCAGCAACUGGUAUUUGACCCCAACUUACCAAAAAGAUGGUGCAAUAUCCUCCUAACCUGCUAUAUAAUUGCCACUAAAUAGGCAAUAUAUAGACAGACAACGGAGGGGAUCACUGUCUUAGCCAAAAGGCCGAGAAGCGGGUCAAUCUUUUUAACCUUAAUCAGUUCCAAUCUAACACAAUCAGUUUACAUACCCUUUAGUGGUUGUUCAUGUUCAGAUAAUCUGUGUUUUUGUCAUGCAUGUUGUUUGUCUUUGUCAGCUUCAUGUGUUUGUGAUGUUUGUAUGUAUUUGUCUGCUUCAGUUUUAACAAAAGUUUGCUAAAGAAAACACAAAAGGGAGGAACAGCUUGAGCCUUUAUUUGUUGAUUGGUCACCUGAGUCUUUGGAUAAUCAUGUUCAUUAUUGCACUUUAGCCUGUACAAGCCAAUUGUUGAGUUGUAUCUUAAGUACAAGUGUGUGUUCUUCAAUUGUUGAGAUUUUUGCAUUAUUAUUAAUGUUAUUUAUAUGUGCCUUUCCUUUUGAUGUGUGCAUGUCUGUCAGCUCCAUGUUUAAUGAAAAUGUUUGCAAAUGGUAGUACAUGUUUGUCUCUCGUCUCAUGCUCUCGUGUUCUCGCCUGUAGAUCUGUACCUUGUUGUGGUGGGCGAGCUUUUAAUUAAACAGAUCUUGUUUACUUGUGUUUUAUAUGCAUUGCCUUUUCAAUGAAACCCAUUCGGGGUGAAAAAUAAAAGUUGUAAAAGAAUUUGAGUCUCUGUGUGCUUGGCUUUCACAAGGGGUGGGGUAGUGGAAAGAAAAAACACACCAAAGAAAUUAGAAGUCCUUGUGUCUUCUCUCCCGCAACCAGAGGUGUGAAUACACCCCCACUUUGCUGGCUGCACUCCCUGUGUGGUCAAAAUAAUGAGUUCUGUGAAUGGCUCUGUCAUCCAGACAAAGGGAGUGCACUGAAUACAUUCUUAUUAUUUUUCUUAAUUCAGCCCAAAAAUGUAACAAUUAAACACUUUUCCACUUGAUAAUAUGAAUCUCAUCAGCUACAUCAACUCAAAGUAUGAAAAUAAUAAACAAAACAUUCAGCAGACUAGCGGAUUUUGAUAAUCUAGGCCUUGCACAUAAUAUUUCUGGAAAUAAGGAUCCAUAAUGAAUGAAAGGAAUGAAUGAAUGAAUGAAUGAAUGAAUGAAUGAAUGAAUGAAUGAAUGCGUUAUUCCAGACUCAGAGUUCCAUAUUUGAACGCAAUGCAUUACACUGCUUGCGCGUCAUCGUUUGCGUGAUCUUUUGAAGAAACGUAGCGAUGCAAAACAUGGUAUGGACUGCAAUAUAGCACGAUGAAGCCAUUCAUAGCUAUUAUUUCUUUAGAACAACAUGAUCAGGGGAGAGCGCGAACGCAGUCCCCCACUACCAGAAAUUAUGCAAUCGAGAUUCCCACAUUUGGGGAAUUCGCACGGGUCAGCAACAGCCUCAGUGCAAUGGCUGAGCCUCGCUAUGGGUGAACCACCUUCUUGAUCAUGGUAUCUCCCUUGCCAGGUAAGUAUGAGUUGAACACGUUCAGGUGGGCUGAACGAUGCCCACGCGUGUUCCCGUGGAGAACGGUUGCAAAGCAUUCGGCGAUGUCUAGACUUUAAUAAACACUGUAGACCACCGGUCACACGAUGACAGGCGAAUCUGAAAUCAGCGAGAUGGAAGCUUAACGAAAGGAAACCUGGAGAUCCGAGUUAUCGACACGCCACAGAAAGAAUCCUUUUUUCUUUCUUAAACAACAGAAUAUCGUUGGAAUAAUUGUAAACAGUGCGUUUAUGAAUUGUAAAUGACACUUUAUUGUCUACAGGCGGACGGGUGUACUCUCAGGAGGAGUUUAGUUUUGUUUUUCACAGUGAGAGAGGGGUGCACCGGUCCUGGAGGUACUGCAAUACCAGGUCGAUGCGUGGAGUGGACGGGGCAAGCCCCUUUUCCAUCUCCCAGUUCCAAAAAUCAAUUUAAUAUAUGGUCCCCGGGUAGGGGACGUAUCAGAUAUUAAACUGAUAAGAACAGAUACUACACUUGAUCUUAGCCAAAAGGCCGAGAAGCGAUGCCUACACACGCUCAGACCAAGAGGCGACGUUCCCAGACACGUCGCUCCACGUGGCGGUUUAACAGACAACGAAAAAAAAACAAAAGAAUGACCAAGCACCCUGUGUGCGUGUUUGUGUGUAUGUGAAAGCUGAAGAAAUAAACCGAGGUCGCUACAUCUCUUUGCUGCUGCCUGCUGGCAGUCUCACUAGGCCGUCUGCAUGUUUCACAAAUAGAGUUUGGAGCAGUGGAGGCUUCUAUAAGACCACAGGUGAAGCAGUGCUUCACCAAAAAAAUGUUAAAAAAUAAAUAAACCAACAAUACUAUCGAAUACUGCCAAAAUGGUGGUGCCCACGAUUUCCCCGCCCCAACAACGUCAACACCCGGAACUCUAUUGCAGCCAUUGCAGCCAAUGAGCUCGAGUUGAAAAAGAAAAUAGCUUACAGCACGUGGUUUCACUCAGGUAAAUUGUAUCCCCUUCACCGUUUGCUAGUUGACAAUUAGACCUUUUUGUUAAGGUUUGUAUUAAGCUGUUUCGAUUUUGUAGAAAGAGAAAAGAUUUCCACCGUGUCAUAACACGGUCGUUGUGUAUAAAGGGAAGACGUAGCGGUUACGUUUUUAGCUGCUGGGUUGACUUCAGUCAACCUAUCGCCGUUUUGUCUGCGAGCAACCAUAUUACUCGUGGGUGGUCUCCUUUUAAUCGUGGUAAUCUAAGCUUUCCAACGGUGUAUGGCAUGACUAUAUGUACCCAGGGGUCGUUGAAAUAAUAAGCUGAUUAAUGUGUGUUUUGUGACGAUAGCUAGGCGCGGCUAACGACACUGUUUACAAUGUGUAAGGGCAUACGUCGCAUACCUGCAAACUUGUUGCUUUUCGGCGACAAUCAACGUUUUCUUGGACAAUUUGAUGUGGAUAUGUGUUGAUUUGGGUAAAUGUGACUGUUUAGACAACAGCUGAUGCGAGAGUAAGUGUAACAUAAAGCAAUUUGGCGACCGUGUUAAUCUCUUGUUGCAUGGGAUGCGCUGCAUACCUGGAAACAGUAGCUGAUUUCUAACAACAUAGAUAACAAUCUGGCGAGCGUGUUGUCCACCUAGGCUAAUACACCAACAGCACAUUUCUGUAUAAUAAAGGGCUACAUAUUGUCAAUCUAAAUGAUCUGCUUGUUGUACUCAUUUAUUCAUGUUUUACUGUACCAGAUGGAACAUGGAGGAGCCUACACAUCAGUGCACCGUGUGCGACAAGACAUUCAGUGAAAAGUCCAACCUGGCGAGUCAUCUGAAGAUCCAUGCCAUCGCCAGGGAGACCUUUACCUGUGAUGUCUGCGGGAAGAGCUUGGCCACUAAACCAUCGCUGGUCAGCCAUCAACAGCUACACCAGUACCCCAACAUCAUUUUGUACCGGCAAGGAGAGGCCAGGCUGUACUGUACAGAGGCAGCAAGGUCUGUGGCAGAGGCCCGCAGCAGCACUGUUGUUGACCCUAAAUGGCUGGAUCUCAAGACAGCAGAGGCGGCUGCCAAGAGGUCGGGGGCUGAGCUGUGGAAAGGUCAGCUGGUCCUCACGUUCGGGUAGUACGCCGGUCAGACCUUCAGGUGGCUUGUGGAGAAUGAUGUCGGCUGGCUGGUGUGGCUGCUGCUCCAGUACUGCCAGCAGGGAGAGCAGAACGAGCUGCUGAAGUGGCAGAAGGAGCGACUGCUCCUUCGGCCACAAGGUGACUCCUCACCUGAAAGUGCUGUCGGACGCACCGUUCCCGGAGGCUCCUGCGCUGCCAACAUCCCUCCCUCCGCCAGACCGGCCUCAGGUCCAGUACCGGCUCAUCCAUCACGAGGCUGGAAAGAGACGUGGUGAGAAGCGGAGGUAAGUUGUCAUAAGCACUUUGUUUCACCUGUUGGCUGUGGAAAGCAAAUAGCACACACGUCAUAUCAAUACUGAUCACAUGUGUAUUUUAUGUUUCCAGAUUAUUUGUUGCUGAGCCACAGCCUGUGACUCCCGCGAACCGACCCGUUCAGCCCACUGGGUUGUCGUCCUCCACCCGGCCGAAGCCUGCUGCGCUCACCCCCAUUCUGCCGAGGCCUUCUGCGCCCACCCACCUCCAGCCGAGGCCACCCGCUGCGUUGACCUACGGCCCACCCCCUGUGUCGGCAGCACCCAUACUGCAGGUCUUCCCCGCACAGCCACAGGCCCCCUCCGUCCUGUUUCGUGGGACAUCCUGCAGCCAGUGCUUUGUCCCUCCUGCACCAACAGUGAAGGCAUUCAUGCCUAACAAGUCCUCAAGGCCAUGUGGGGCUUGCCACAUGCCAAACUGUGGUGGACAGUGGAAGAGGUACAACCCUUUCAAGGACAAAGUGGCUGGAAGCAUGCAGAAAAUGUUUUCCUACUGUCCAUCCACUAGGAAGUCCACUACCCCUGGCUUCGACAAUGUGGUGUAUGACAACUUUGAACUCUUUAAGAGUGUCGUGGAUGCAGAGUUGGAAAGGAGGACUGUGUGUGUGUGUGUGUGUGUGUGUGUGUGUGUGUGUGUGUGUGUGUGUGUGUGUGUGUGUGUGUGUGUGUGUGUGUGUGUGUGUGUGU